rnacentral:rRNA from 1 species
GACGAACGCUGGCGGCGUGCUUAACACAUGCAAGUCGAACGGAAAGGCCCUGCUUUUGUGGGGUGCUCGAGUGGCGAACGGGUGAGUAACACGUGAGUAACCUGCCCUUGACUUUGGGAUAACUUCAGGGAACUGGGGCUAAUACCGGAUAGGAGCUCCUGCUGCAUGGUGGGGGUUGGAAAGUUUCGGCGGUUGGGGAUGGACUCGCGGCUUAUCAGCUUGUUGGUGGGGUAGUGGCUUACCAAGGCUUUGACGGGUAGCCGGCCUGAGAGGGUGACCGGCCACAUUGGGACUGAGAUACGGCCCAGACUCCUACGGGAGGCAACAGUGGGGAAUAUUGCACAAUGGGCGGAAGCCUGAUGCAGCAACGCCGCGUGCGGGAUGACGGCCUUCGGGUUGUAAACCGCUUUCGCCUGUGACGAAGCGUGAGUGACGGUAAUGGGUAAAGAAGCACCGGCUAACUACGUGCCAGCAGCCGCGGUGAUACGUAGGGUGCGAGCGUUGUCCGGAUUUAUUGGGCGUAAAGGGCUCGUAGGUGGUUGAUCGCGUCGGAAGUGUAAUCUUGGGGCUUAACCCUGAGCGUGCUUUCGAUACGGGUUGACUUGAGGAAGGUUUUGGAGAAUGGAAUUCCUGGUGGAGCGGUGGAAUGCGCAGAUAUCAGGAGGAACACCAGUGGCGAAGGCGGUUCUCUGGGCCUUUCCUGACGCUGAGGAGCGAAAGCGUGGGGAGCGAACAGGCUUAGAUACCCUGGUAGUCCACGCUGUAAACGGUGGGUACUAGGUGUGGGGUCCAUUCCACGGGUUCCGUGCCGUAGCUAACGCUUUAAGUACCCCGCCUGGGGAGUACGGCCGCAAGGCUAAAACUCAAAGGAAUUGACGGGGCCCCGCACAAGCGGCGGAGCAUGCGGAUUAAUUCGAUGCAACGCGUAGAACCUUACCUGGGUUUGACAUGGAUCGGGAGUGCUCAGAGAUGGGUGUGCCUCUUUUGGGGUCGGUUCACAGGUGGUGCAUGGCUGUCGUCAGCUCGUGUCGUGAGAUGUUGGGUUAAGUCCCGCAACGAGCGCAACCCUUGUUCACUGUUGCCAGCACGUUAUGGUGGGGACUCAGUGGAGACCGCCGGGGUCAACUCGGAGGAAGGUGGGGAUGACGUCAAGUCAUCAUGCCCCUUAUGUCCAGGGCUUCACGCAUGCUACAAUGGCUGGUACAGAGAGUGGCGAGCCUGUGAGGGUGAGCGAAUCUCGGAAAGCCGGUCUCAGUUCGGAUUGGGGUCUGCAACUCGACCUCAUGAAGUCGGAGUCGCUAGUAAUUGCAGAUCAGCAACGCUGCGGUGAAUACGUUCCCGGGGCU